GAAUUGCGAUAUGUAAUGUGAAUUGCAGAAUUCAGUGAAUCAUCGAAUCUUUGAACGCACCUUGCGCCCUUUGGUAUUCCGAAGGGCAUGCCUGUUUGAGUGUCAUUAAAUUCUCAACUUCAAAAUGUGCUUUGUUGCAUUUUUGAAGCUUGGACUUUGGAGGUUUAUUGCCGGCAAUAACUUGUCAGCUCCUCUUAAAUGCAUUAGCGGAACUUUAUUAAGGACCAGCUUUGGUUUGAUAAUCCUAUCUAUGCCGUCGCUGUGGACUUACUUUGCUUGUUCAGCUUCUAAUGGUCUUCGGACUGUCUCAAUUACGAGGCAUACACUUUUAAGCUUGACCUCAAAUCAGGUAGGACUACCCGCUGAACUUAA
rnacentral:misc_RNA from 1 species